UUCUUCCUCUAUCAUUCCCCGUCCCUCUAUACUAAUUUAAUGUUAAUUUCAGAAAAUAUUAUAUUGUGACCACGCGCAAUGUGGUUAGUAGAAUCAGUGUUUGCUUCGUCAUAGUAUUUUGAAUAUUUUUUAGAGCACAAUAGCUCUGAUUAAAUUUUAAUUAGAAUAAUCAAACGGGAAGAUAGAGUCAGUGUUUGUUCGUCGAUUAUAAUUUAUGCGGACGCGUUAUUAGUUUCUUAUUUUUUAUUUUUUUUCUUUUUAUUUUAAAUAUUCGUUUCCGGUACAGAGUAGAGUCGGUGCUUCUCUCAAGAGAAUACGGCGAUCAUCCAUCACGCGAAGAGAUUUCUUCCAUCCUUCCAUCCAUCCUGAUGACUAUCCAACCUUCUUCUCGAUGACUUCUUGGCUACAAUAACAAUGAAGGCGUUCGCAUCGUAUGUUUGUUUCAGAAAUCUCCUUCAGCUUUCAACAAUGGAUUAUGUGGAAUGGAUUACAUCUUAUCAUCAGAUAAAUAUUCUAAUUUUUUAUAUUAAUAGGUAAUAUAGAAUAGGUUGUAGGAAACAUUUAGCUUUUUUUCUUGAUAGAUGGGAUUUAUAAACGAUGUUCUGUUCUUCUUCUUCUUAUUGUUAAAAAAAGCAGCUUCGCUUUCCCCACUUUGAUUCGUUUUCCAAAUCAACAUUUCCUAUUUUUCAAGGCAAUAUGAUCAUUUUGCUAUCCUUAAUUCCUUAAUUUCCUCAUUAUAAACAAAUGCUUGAUACUUGAUAGCUACAUGACUUUGUUCAUUAGCCAUCAUUGGUAUAUACUGAUUUGCAUUUUCCUCUUGCCACAUGUGGUUUUAUGUCGUAUCACAAAUUUUUUGGAAUUUGUGUGUCAUCAAUCAGUGUGAAUGUAAAUAUGAUGAAUGUUGAUACGAAGAGAAUUUGUUAGAUGUUCAAUCAAAGCUGAAUUAGGAACAAAGUGUUUAAAUUCUUAUAUAGAUAAGAAACAUAAAAAAAAAACUUUCAGAAUAAAUUAAAUGUUAAUGUUAUAUUUUUAAUUCAAGUUUGUUUCAGGAUUUCUUACAGGAACAGAAGAUUGUAUAAUUGAU